UAAUACAGAGGGGGCAAGCGUUAUUCGGAAUUAUUGGGCGUAAAGGGCGCGUAGGCGGCUUUUCAAGUGACGGGUGAAAUCCCUCGGCUUAACCGAGGAACUGCCUGUCAGACUGGAAGGCUUGAGACCGGGAGAGGUGAGUGGAAUUCCCAGUGUAGCGGUGAAAUGCGUAGAUAUUGGGAGGAACACCAGUGGCGA
rnacentral:rRNA from 1 species